rnacentral:rRNA from 1 species
UACGUAGGGUGCGAGUGUUGUCCGGAAUUAUUGGGCGUAAAGAGCUCGUAGGCGGUGUGUCACGUCGUUCGUGAAAACCUGCAGCUUAACUGUGGGCGUGCGGUCGAUACGGGCAUCACUGGAGUUCGGCAGGGGAGACUGGAAUUCCUGGUGUAGCGGUGAAAUGCGCAGAUAUCAGGAGGAACACCGGUGGCGAAGGCGGGUCUCUGGGCCGAUACUGACACUGAGGCACGAAAGCGUGGGGAGCAAACAGG